AUGAUGGCCCCCACUCAGCUCCUGGUGUUGCUGUUGCUCUGGUUUGUAGUUGCUAGAUGUGACAUCCAGAUGACCCAGUCUCCAUCCCCCCUGUCUGCAUCUAUGGGAGAAACUGUCACCAUCACAUGCCUGGCAAGCCAGAAAAUUUAUGGGAAUUUAGCAUGGUAUCAGCAGAAACAAGAGGGAAGUCCUAAUCUUCUGAUCUAUGAUGCAGCCAGCUUGGCAGAUGGGGUCCCAUCAAGGUUCAGUGGCAGUGGAUCUUGCACAAAGUUUUCUCUCAAGAUCAGCAGCCUGCAGCCUGAAGAUGCUGCAAUUUAUUACUGUCAAUAA